GCGCCCGCGCUCGCAGAGUGCCGCGGUCGUCCGCCGACUCGACGCGGCGCUGACGUGCGAUACGCUGAACUAGUGUUUCCACCGUGAAAUCACCACUGUUAUUUGUUUAUACCUACUUCGGAUUUGAUUACAUGGCUUCAAGAAUCUACUGUCGAUCUUGUGGUGUACUGUACCUGUACGUGUGAAGUUUGAAACGACUUAUAUUGUGAAUCGGGUCAGCCGUGCUCGUUUAUGUGCUGAAUGGUGAUUAAAAGUAAUUUACUUCGCUUUUACGGUACGGAGGGUCGGUCGGUUCGUAUCGAUCGCUUAUCGAAACAAAGCGCUGGAUUGUUUUGGCCGCGUGGAAGAGGCCGGUGCAGCUAGGUGUCCGUUGCGAGGAUUGGGAUGCGAGUGUUGUGAUGGUUCAUCGGUCGUGCCAAUAACGCCGCAGUGUAAGUGUACCGGUAUAGUGCCCAUAAGUGUUGAAUGGAUUGUGUCAUUUUGGGAUUGCCGUCAACAGUCAUCGGGAGAUCAAGUUGGGAACGGGCUACAAUGGUG